rnacentral:rRNA from 1 species
AUGUCCAGGGCUACACACGUGCUACAAUGGCGAUACAGAGGGAAGCAAGGCCGCAAGGUAGAGGCUAAUCCCUAAAGUCGUCCUCAGUUCGGAUUGCAGGCUGCAACUCGCCUGCAUGAAGUCGGAAUCGCUAGUAAUCGCGGAUCAGCUACGCCGCGGUGAAUACGUUCUCCGGGCCUU